UGCAGACACACAGGAGCCCCAGCCCCACCAAUGCCUGGUUAUCCCAUAGGGAAGAAGGAAACAGUCUGUUCUGGACCUCACUUUCCCUACCUGUCUUUCCUCUAAUCCAGGAGUGGCCUUAGUGCUUGUCCUGUGGGGCUCCCAGAGAGUGGGAAGACCCCCCAGCUGUGGUCUUCUGUCCCUUUGCCUGCCCACUCUCGCCCAUCCAAGACACAUUUGCAAACUUUCUGGUGAAGGCAGCUGGUUCUCCACAGGAGCUGUUACCUGAGAACUGACAGCCAUGACAACAAAAGCCUGGCAGCCUCUCUGAGAGUUGGCGGGGCUGAAGGAAAGCCCCUGUCACUCUGCCCUCUGCCUGUCCAUCCACCCACAGCCCUGCACACAGAGAAAGAUGCCAUACUAGACGCAAGAUUCAGGUGGACUGUAGUCUCCAGAAUUCAAUGUGGGCACCCUGCCUAUGUCUCUCUGCCUGCCUCCCCCGCACCUAGCCCCAGAGACCUCUGCUGGGUUGAGAAAGGAGUGGUGUCACCUUCCGGCAGAUGCUGACUUUCACCCCUAGCCUGUUACCUCACAGAGCAGGCUGAAGUUGGUUGUUGUGAUGUGCAGUUUAUUUUUGUGGGUGAAGGUGUGAUGUCACAGCAGCUUCAGCUCCUGCCAGCUCAGAGGAGGAAGAGGAAGCGGUUGCAGAUGAUCUAAGACACCACUGUUCGGUCUGCUCAGCCUUCUUCAAAGUUCCAUUCCGAGGGACCUGACACUCACAGGACAAUCUCCACCACAGCCACCAUUCUGGGGACAGACAUGUGAUCUAGGCCAGGCCAGUCAUCACCCAUUGUGGGAUUUGAACAUCUGAGGCACAGGAAAGAGACCCGCUCUGUGCAGGUAGCUCUGGGCAGAGGAGCCCUGCAGUAGCUGGUGGGCACCUGCUGGCCUGAGAGAAGGCAGAGCAGAAGAGGAGGCAGAUGACUGUGGGAAGCCAAGAAGAAAGGCCAAGAGUCCCCCGAGGCCUGCUGCUCCUCUGGCCUUUCUGCUCAGGCUUGGUUUUGUGAUCUGGUAACAUCCCCUUGUGUCUAACUGGCCCUAAUUAGGACUCCAACAUUUGCCACCAUGGCCCUGGAAAGCUUCUGCAGAAUCUCUGAUGGAUGUAUGUGCCAUCCUGGGCCUGGCACAGAAAGUUAUUUCCUGAUCACCUGGCUCUGGUCACCAUCCCAGAAGCAGGGCCUGUCUCUAGGCUAUUUAGUGAGUUUCUGGGAAAAUGCAAAAGCACAAGAAAACUUCAACUCAGAGUCAUUGCAACUGUUCUCUCCACGAUGCCAGCUGAGCUGCCCUGGGGUCCCUGCAGCACAGGUGUCAGUGCUGAUGUUGGCAGCUGCCUACUCCAAGGCAAGGGCCCAGCUGUCCAGUUUUGUCCUUCCAUUCUGUGACCUUGCCCUCUGCUCUGCUCCAGGUGCCUGGCCACGCUCCUCAUCUGUACAUGCCCCCCGUUCUCAGUCAAUGGUCUUUCCAGGAUAGACGCUCAGCCAAACCCGGGGCUGCUCCACUUGCCAGGCAAUUGCUGUACCCGACCUGUUCUUCCUUCUCCAAACCCAACACUGUUCUCUCGCUUUAAAAAUUGUUAAAAAGAAAGUCCCAAGCCCUGGAGCCUGGGGUUUGGUGAUUGUUUGCAGAGCCAUGAGCCAGCUUCCUGUGCUGUCUAGCAGGGCAAUGCUAAGGGAGAGGAAGUGAGGGCCAGGGUGGGAGGGAGGGAGGCCAUGAUCUGCCCAGCAGCAAACACUCAGAGGGGGAGCUGCACGAUUCCCUGCCAUGUCGCAUUUCAUGCUAGGGAUCCAGGCUCCUUCCAGAGCUGGAUGCCAGAGGAACAAAUUGUGGCAACACGCUCCAUUUGGCUUUUGGACUUGACACGUAUCCUGAAGGGCAAUGGACACAUUAUGAAUAGCUAUCCCUGGCCACCUAGGCCUGGAUCCAGUCUCCCGCAUGCAUGGCUCUGUACAUGUUCACACAGGUGCACAUGGUCAUGCAUAGGAGUCCUCGACCUUGUGUGUGCUUCUGAGUAUGCACAUGCACAGUGUGUGUUCCUGCCAGGUUUAUCUACAUCUGCCCUUGUCCUCUGCAAAGCUGAGAAGGUUGAAGGCCCUGAGGCUGCCUAUUCCUGGCCUUUGUCCCCCUCUUGGCCAGCCCCUUUGUCCUUGCCUCCUACACCGGUAAACCACCCACCAGAUACCCACCAAGGGGCACUCACUACGGUUUCCACUUUGUGGCUUAUGAAGAAUACCACUUGUAAAUGCAAUCUUUUCCCUUCAGGUCUUAUAAACCAGAUGUGAUAAUUCUCAGUCUCUGGAAGCUACUGCACAGUAAGAAAAAUGCCAAAACACUCACACCUUAUCUAUGGAUAAAAUCCCCAGCCCUAAGGUGUGCCGCUCCAGGCUUUCCCUAGCCUGGCACCAUCCUGCCUUCCCAUCUCAUCAGAUGUUCUGAAUAUUCUUCUCAGGCUGGAGAUGAAGGGGCAGGAGAAGUCAGCCUGAGACCUGGAGAACUGAGUGCUGGAGGGUUCUUGGAUUCUAGUCUGUUCUCUGCCAAUACUACUUUGUGACUUUCAGACAGUCCCUGCCAUUCUCCGGAAGUGAAGUUUUCUUCUAAAUUAGAUGCGUUCACCAACAUCCAGUUCUCAGCCUGGGGACAGUCACAGCCUCCCAAGGUAGCUUUUGAGGUUUGCAAAGAGCUCAUUUAGUUUAUUGUGGUUCUGUUUGUUUUAAAUGCAUUGUAUCAGUUUUUGUGUGGUUGCCACAGGAAACAAGCUAGCAUAACCUGGGUGGCCUAAAACAACAGAAAUUUAUUCUCAGGAAUAAAUAAGCUUAUUCUGGAAGUCUGAUGUCAUCAGCAGACCUGAGCUGAAAUGAAGAAUCUUAACACAGCUACACUCCUCCAGAAGCUGGAAGAGAGAAGCAUUCCGGCUUCUUGCAGUUCUGGUGGAACACUGAUUCUCCUUGGCUUGUGGUCACAUCACGCUGAUGUCUGUCUCCAGGUCAUGCUCUGUCAUCUCUGUCUGCCUCCCCUUAGAAGGAUACAUGUGCUAGUGUUAGGGCCCACUUAGUGGAUUCAAAAUAACUGCCUCACCUCAAGAUUCUUAAUUCGAUCCUUUCGCUAAAUAUGGUAACAUUUACAGGUUCUGGGGAUUAGGAUCUGAUAUCUUUGGGAUCCAUUAUUCAGCCUGUUACAGCCAUAACACUGAAAUAAUUUAGAAACAUCACUAAAGACAAGAAUGAGGCUUUUAUAUUUAUCAAAGGAGAGCAGGAGUUUGAAAAGGUUGAGAAACAGUGGGUGAAAUGACCUGUAAGCAUUCUUCCAGUCCAACCCCUGUGCAGUUUUACUGCCAUAUGCUGAGGGAAAGAAAUAAAAAAGCA